UAACAACCUGGAAACAGAUGCUAAUACCGGAUAACAACAGAUGAUGCCUAUCAACUGUUUAAAAGAUGGUUCUGCUAUCACUCUUGGAUGGACCUGCGGUGCAUUAGCUAGUUGGUAGGGUAACGGCCUACCAAGGCGAUGAUGCAUAGCCGAGUUGAGAGACUGAUCGGCCACAUUGGGACUGAGACACGGCCCAAACUCCUACGGGAGGCAGCAGAC
rnacentral:rRNA from 1 species